GUGUGACAGAGAUGCCGCCGA
rnacentral:siRNA from 1 species